GGAGUGUUGGCUCAGUCAGUAGAGCGUCCGCCUCACAACCGGGAAGGUCGUGGGUUCGAAAACCCGCCCGCGUUC
rnacentral:tRNA from 1 species